rnacentral:lncRNA from 1 species
UCGACUCUCACGUACACGCCGUCAGGCCUUGUACCUCUUUGCAGAGAGAGCCAGGUAGAGCUCCGGGAACAAAUUGACAACCUAGCCACAGAACUGUGCCGCAUAAAUGAGGAUCAGAAGGUGGCCCUGGAUCUUGACCCCUAUGUUAAGAAGCUACUUAAUGCCCGGCGACGCGUUGUCUUGGUUAACAACAUUCUACAGAAUGCUCAGGAACGACUGAGACGGCUAAACCACAGUGUUGCCAAGGAAACAGCCCGCAGGAGAGCAAUGCUGGAUUCGGGAAUUUACCCCCCUGGCUCCCCAGGCAAAUAACAGAUGAGCCUAUGGACUCAGUAGCACAAGUACUGUUCCCCAGCUGCCUUGUUUCAACAGACAUGCAAAGAUCCUAGGAGACAGUCCCCAUAGACCUUCAGACAUUAAAAAGGGAGCCGUACAGUUUGUUUGAAGCACUUCGUCUUACCCAUUUAUGUAGGGGCCCCAGGAAACCUACACACAGCCAGAAUGAGGUUCCCAAAGGACUUACAUUAAUUAUGGCUCUUGCUUCCUUUCACAAAUGAGCUGAGGCCUCUACUUUUUUUUUUAAGCUGCAUACGUGAGGCUUACCUUCUUCAGGACUAGUUAACCAGAGGGGCUUCCUUUGUAUGUUACAUGCCUGGUUACAUGGGCCUGGACAGCAUGUCCUCUACCUGUGACUUCUCAUUUUCCUGUUUACACUGGGGAUUUGGAGGGGGCAGGCAAAGUCAAAGUGAAUGACCUCUGUCCACCCACUUUUUUAUUGCACUGGCUUGAAU